GCCUAUGAUGAUAUAAUCCGAUUGUACGAGGUACGUGGAUCCAAGACCCUGUUAAUCAGGGUGAACCACUUGGUUGAAACUGUAUUUCACAUGAAUUUACUGGAUUUUACUGAGGC